rnacentral:rRNA from 1 species
UGCCAGACUCCUACGGGAGGCAGCAGUGGGGAAUAUUGGGCAAUGGGCGCAAGCCUGACCCAGCAACGCCGCGUGAAGGAAGAAGGCUUUCGGGUUGUAAACUUCUUUUAAGAGGGAAGAGUAGAAGACGGUACCUCUUGAAUAAGCCACGGCUAACUACGUGCCAGCAGCCGCGGUAAUACGUAGGUGGCAAGCGUUGUCCGGAUUUACUGGGUGUAAAGGGCGUGUAGCCGGGCCGGCAAGUCAGAUGUGGAAUCCCAAGGCUCAACCUUGGAACUGCAUUUGAAACUGUUGGUCUUGAGUAUCGGAGAGGCAGGCGGAAUUCCUAGUGUAGCGGUGAAAUGCGUAGAUAUUAGGAGGAACACCAGUGGCGAAGGCGGCCUGCUGGACGGUAACUGACGCUGAGGCUCGAAAGCGUGGGGAGCAAACAGGAUUAGAUACCCGGGUAGC